rnacentral:tRNA from 1 species
GCGGUAUCCGCCCUGAUUGGUAGAGCGCCGCUUUUGCAAGGCGGAGGUCAGGGGUUCGAUUCCCCUCAGCUCCA